AAAAUGUUGGUGGUGAGUAUGGUGUUGUGGGGGUUGUGGUGUAUUAUUUGCAGUGAAUGUUGGUUAAAUGGAGAGGAUCGCGCUUGGAGUCUGGUGACGAGUGGUCUCCGUUGCAUCGUGCAGCGGUCUUCAUUGGUCUUUUUCUUGUGGAGCUUUGUUUGUUGUUCAGGGCGUGAUCUUCCUAUCAAGGGGUUGUCUUAUCUAGGAGAUAUUUCCAUGCAGAUGGCAGUUCUUGUGUCGGGUGAUUAUUGACGAGUUUCUCUUUUUUCUGCCUGGUGUAAAUUUCUAUAGUCUCAGCUAGAUACGCGUGUUUCCCUCUCUGCAAGAGUCCGAUUGCUUCAGCUUUCUGCUGGUCCACUC
rnacentral:lncRNA from 1 species